GCCCGGGUGGCGAAAUUGGUAGACGCAAGGGACUUAAAAUCCCUCGGGGGAAACUCCGUACCGGUUCGAUUCCGGUCCCGGGCACCA
rnacentral:tRNA from 5 species